GAACGCGAAGAACCUUACCCGGGCUUGAAUUGCAGGAGAACGAUACAGAGAUGUUGAGGUCCUUCGGGAUUCCUGUGAAGGUGCUGCAUGGUUGUCGUCAGCUCGUGCCGUGAGGUGUCGGCUUAAGUGCCAUAACGAGCGCAACCCCUCUCUUCAGUUGCCAUCAGGUUAUGCUGGGCACUCUGGAGACACUGCCACCGUAUGGUGUGAGGAAGGUGGGGAUGACGUCAAAUCAGCACGGCCCUUACGUCCGGGGCUACACACGUGUUACAAUGGCCGGUACAGAGGGAAGGUGUAAUGCAAAUUGCAUCAAAUCUUGAAAGCCGGUCCCAGUUCGGACUGGGGUCUGCAACCCGACCCCACGAAGCUGGAUUCGCUAGUAAUCGCGCAUCAGCCAUGGCGCGGUGAAUACGUUCCCGGGUCUUGUACACACC
rnacentral:rRNA from 1 species